CACCAUAGUGACUUUCAAACAACUCACUGUACUUUGGUGUCAGACUAUCUGAAUUUCUAAUUCAGGAUCGAAAGAUUUCUGGACACAGUCAAGUACUUGUGAAGUUGGUGCAUGAGUCAAGAUGGAAUUGACUACUCCAAGGGAUUGGAGAGAAUGCUUUGUGUUUCAAUUUAGUAAGACCUUAGCCAGGGCAAUCCUUAUGAGGAGUCAAAGGAUUUAUUAGAUUGAAACACAUAAUAGAUGCACUG
rnacentral:lncRNA from 1 species